UACGUAGGGUGCAAGCGUUAGUCGGAAUUACUGGGCGUAAAGCGUGCGCAGGCGGUUAUGCAAGACAGAUGUGAAAUCCCCGGGCUCAACCUGGGAACUGCAUUUGUGACUGUAUAGCUAGAGUACGGUAGAGGGGGAUGGAAUUCCGCGUGUAGCAGUGAAAUGCGUAGAUAUGCGGAGGAACACCGAUGGCGAAGGCAAUCCCCUGGACCUGUACUGACGCUCAUGCACGAAAGCGUGGGGAGCAAACAGG
rnacentral:rRNA from 1 species